UAUUGCUUUGGCAAUACAUAUGUUAAAAUUGAAAUGAUAUUGAGAAGACUAGCAUGGCCCCUGCACAUGGACAACACACAAAUUCAUGAAGCAUUCCAUAUUUUC